CUACGUGCCAGCAGCCGCGGUAAUACGUAGGGUGCGAGCGUUAAUCGGAAUUACUGGGCGUAAAGCGAGCGCAGACGGUUACUUAAGCAGGAUGUGAAAUCCCCGGGCUCAACCUGGGAACUGCGUUCUGAACUGGGUGACUAGAGUGUGUCAGAGGGAGGUAGAAUUCCACGUGUAGCAGUGAAAUGCGUAGAGAUGUGGAGGAAUACCGAUGGCGAAGGCAGCCUCCUGGGAUAACACUGACGUUCAUGCUCGAAAGCGUGGGUAGCAAACAGGAUUAGAUACCCUGGUAGUCCACGCCCUAAACGAUGUCUACUAGUUGUCGGGGAUUAAUUUCCUUGGUAACGCAGCUAACGCGUGAAGUAGACCGCCUGGGGAGUACGGUCGCAAGAUUAAAACUCAAAGGAAUUGACGGGGACCCGCACAAGCGGUGGAUGAUGUGGAUUAAUUCGAUGCAACGCGAAAAACCUUACCUACGCUUGACAU
rnacentral:rRNA from 1 species